CUGGUGCUGAACUCUGCCCGUUGGCGUCACAUGCUUCGCAUAUUAGCAUGGUUCUUAUUCUAGAAAUUUAUGGCCAUCUUGAAAAUCACCGUGGUUUUCCCAGUGUCUGUCAAAGCAAUUCAUGUCGUUUAAGUUAUUCCAGAGCCUGUACGUGGAGAUUUUGAGGAAGCUGCACAUGAAUAUAACACCAAAUUGGAUAUAUGUGCUGGUUUCACAAAAAAUGAAUUUGGCUGGUCGGUGGCCGCAACGAAAGCGUAAUGCUUUCUACAAGUGACAAUUUCAAAAACUUCCAUGUUGAUUGCAAGUGUUUUAGCGUUGGUGCAUUAUUCUGCUAGUAUAAAAAGCAGCAUAACCACCAAUGGGCUAACCAAAAUGUAAAAUCUAACGGCUCAUGAAUCAGUGUGACAGGAUUUUUCGUUAUCGAAGGUGCCAUAAAAGUUAUUUGUUUUGGAUAUGUGGUUGUUACGCGAUCAUAGGCGUCUCUGUGAAGAAACUGGAACAAAAGUUUUUGGUACAAGAUCGUCAUCCAUGGCUAAGAUUGGUGUGUAAGUUUAGUUCGUAAAGUUGAGGAAAAACUGCAAAGAUUAUCCAUAAUCCAACGUGGAUAUAUAAGUUUCUAAUUGGAAAAUAUAUGCCGUCAAGUUAUUUUGGAAGAACGUAGAGGGAGUUAGCAAAUUUUUUCUUUUCUUAUGUAAGAUGAGCCAUAGAACCCAGGGUUGGGGUUCUAUGACUGCGGUAACGCCAAUUCUUUUUGGGGGGCUCGUCGGAUAUUUUCAAUUUACAUGUGCCUGUUUUUAAUACUAAGCACCAUUUCGAUCCAUUUCCUUACAAAAAAAAUUCUAUCAAUACGGACAUUUUCGUGAGAGAACACAGUUCGGCAACCUACAAAAAAAACGGGCGCUUCUUGGUUCAAACUGUCGUGGCGUAAGUUACAUUAAGUCUUUCUGAUUGUUGUUUUAAACGGUUUCACAAACUGCCUUGUCACUUUAUCACUGAGUGUAUCACCUUAUCAAAGUCAGUAAGCAGUACUAACAUUUUGGUCCUCAUUAAUCUGAAGCUGGUUAAUGAAGUUGGAGUAGCGGAGCAACCUAACGUCUUUUGGAAUGCCGAUGAACUAGGUUUGGCACAUUGGUUUAAAUGGUUUUCGUCCUGUUUGUAAUUGGG